rnacentral:tRNA from 1 species
GGGAGUGUGACCGGGACUGGUGCCCGGCCCAGUCUUCAAAACUGGUGGGGCGGCUGGAAGGUCGCCUGGCGGGUUCGAUUCCCGUACGCUCCCG